UACGUAGGGUGCGAGCGUUAAUCGGAAUUACUGGGCGUAAAGCGUGCGUAGGCGGUUCGUUAAGUUCGUUGUGAAAGCCCCGGGCUCAACCUGGGAAUGGCAAUGGAAACUGGCGGGCUGGAGUAUGGCAGAGGGGGGUGGAAUUCCUGGUGUAGCGGUGAAAUGCGCAGAUAUCGGGAGGAACACCAGUGGCGCAAGCGGCUGACUGGCCGAGACCUGACGCUGAGACGCGACGGCGUGGGGAGCAAACCGG
rnacentral:rRNA from 1 species